rnacentral:rRNA from 1 species
AACGAACGCUGGCGGCAUGCCUAACACAUGCAAGUCGAACGAAGUCUUCGGACUUAGUGGCGCACGGGUGCGUAACGCGUGGGAAUCUGCCCUUGGGUACGGAAUAACUCAGAGAAAUUUGUGCUAAUACCGUAUAAUGUCUUCGGACCAAAGAUUUAUCGCCCAAGGAUGAGCCCGCGUAAGAUUAGCUAGUUGGUGGGGUAAAAGCCUACCAAGGCGACGAUCUUUAGCUGGUCUGAGAGGAUGAUCAGCCACACUGGGACUGGGACACGGCCCAGACUCCUACGGGAGGCAGCAGUGGGGAAUAUUGAACAAUGGGCGAAGGCAUGAUCCAGCAAUGCCGGGUGAGUGAUGAAGGCCGUAGGGUAGUAAAGCUCUUUUACCAGGGAUGAUAAUGACGGUACCUGGAGAAUAAGCUCCGGCUAACUCCGUG